AAUUCGAUUGAGUUUGAUCAUGGCUCAGAAUCAACGCUGGCGGCGUGCCUCAGACAUGCAAGUCGAACGCGAAAGUCCCCUUCGGGGGACAAGUAGAGUGGCGCACGGGUGAGUAACACGUAGGUAAUCUACCUUCGGAUGGGGAAUAACAAUCGGAAACGAUUGCUAAUACCGCAUAAUGCAGCGGCACCUAAUGGUGACAGUUGUUAAAGCGGGGGAUCGAAAGACCUCGCGUCUGAAGAGGAGCCUGCGGCGGAUUAGCUAGUUGGUAAGGUAAUGGCUUACCAAGGCAACGAUCCGUAACCGGCCUGAGAGGGCGGUCGGUCACACUGACACUGACAUACGGGUCAGACUCCUACGGGAGGCAGCAGUCGGGAAUUUUGGGCAAUGGGCGAAAGCCUGACCCAGCAACGCCGCGUGAAGGAUGAAAUCCCUCGGGAUGUAAACUUCGCAAGAACGGGAAGAAUAAGUAGGGGACAAUACCCCCUAUGAUGACGGUACCGUUUGUAAGCUCCGGCUAACUCCGUGCCAGCAGCCGCGGUAAUACGGGGGGAGCAAGCGUUGUUCGGAUUUACUGGGCGUAAAGGGCGCGUAGGCGGCCAGCACAAGUCAGUUGUGAAAUCUCCGAGCUUAACUCGGAAAGGUCAACUGAUACUGUGCGGCUAGAGUG
rnacentral:rRNA from 1 species